UGGCCCUACCUCACUGGGUAGCUGGGGAACCUAGGCACACUGGCCUCACUCACUUUUCACUCCAAGCACCCCCCUUCACAAGCUUUUCCUCUUCUUUUCAUCCUCUGUCUUUCAUGAUCUUGGUUUUUGAGCCCAGGCCAUUUCAUGAUCUUGUCUGCCAUAGAUGCAGCCUGCUGGCCAGCAACCUCCCAGCAUCACUUGGUUGGUUGGUUGGUUUGGGGUUUGUUGACAGUUGGGUUUUUCUGUCUCAGUGAGGAAGAAGCAAGAAACCUCAGUACUGCAAUUUCCUUCUCACCUCAUAGCGAUGGUGACAGAUUCUGAAUCUCCAGGGCAGGGACGGUGUCUUGAUGGCCCUGUUGAGUGUUGCCUUCACAGUGGUGAAGAAAUAAGAAGGUGAAAAGGUUAAGACAGGAGGGAACAGCAUUUAUGCUCCUGCCCAGGGCUCAGCUGUCUGACAAGGGAAGACCUCUGAGGUGUUUCUCUUCCUGCCUGUGUCAGACUUUUGUGAGCUGACUGCGCCUCGGAGAAGCCACACCCCUCUUCUUCACCCUCGAGGAUUCUAGAUCACAUUUCAACCAGUGAGAAAAGCAUGUGUAAGAUCUUCGGGUAUUUCCUUUCUCCUUAAAAUUCUGGGACAUCUCGAGGUUCAGCCCUUGUCGAACAAAUGGCUCCUUUCUGCCGCCUAGAGGACACAGCCUACACAGUGGAGAAUUAAAGGCAAGAAGAGUACAUCAUGAGAAACACUGGGCUGGAGGAAGCACAAGCUGAAAUAAAGAUUGCUGGGAGAAAUAUCAAUAACCUCAGAUAUGUGGAUGACACCACUCUUAUGGC
ensembl:lncRNA